rnacentral:rRNA from 1 species
CCUACGGGAGGCAGCAGUGAGGAAUAUUGGUCAAUGGACGGAAGUCUGAACCAGCCAAGCCGCGUGCAGGAAGACGGCUCUCUGAGUUGUAAACUGCUUUUGUACAAGGAUAAACCUGAGUACGUGAAUUCAGCUGAAUGUACUCCACCAAUAAGGAUAGGCUCACUCCGGGACACCAGCCGCGGUAAUACGGAGGAUCCCAGCGUUAUCCGGAUUUAUUGGGUGUAAAGGGUGCGUCGGCGGAUUGAUAAGUUAGAUGGGAAAUGUUCGGGCUUAAAUGUGGAAAUGCGUUUGAUACUGUGGAACUAGAGAGCAGAUGCGGUAUGCGGAAUGUAUGGUGUAGCGGUGAAAUGCUUAGAGAUCAUGAAGAACACCGAUUGCGAAGGCAGCUUACCGAGCUAUAACUGACGUUGAGGCACGAAAGCGUGGGGAGCAAACAGGAUUAGAUACCCUAGUAGUC